UACGAAGGGGGCUAGCGUUGUUCGGAAUCACUGGGCGUAAAGCGCAUGCAGGCGGAUCGUUAAGUCGGGGGUGAAAGCCCGAGGCUCAACCUCGGAACUGCCUUCGAUACUGGCGAUCUUGAGUCCGGGAGAGGUGAGUGGAACUCCGAGUGUAGAGGUGAAAAUUCGUAGAUAUUCGGAAGAACACCAGUGGCGAAGGCGGCUCACUGGCCCGGGUACUGACGCUGAGACGCGAAAGCGUGGGGAGCGAACCGG
rnacentral:rRNA from 1 species